rnacentral:lncRNA from 1 species
AUCUUUGAAUUAAACUCUUUUAAUUCUGAUGAGUCCACAAGUCAAGAUUGAUAUCUAACAAUAUGUCAUAACUAUUCGAAAGAUUUAAAAUUUUGAUGCAAAAUUAUCAAAAUAUCCUUCAAUGGCAAGUUACCGUUUAAUUCAUUCCUUCAGUCAAACAACAUCCCAAAUGAGCUGUGGGCAUAGAAACAUGUCAAACCCAAUCACUUAUCUAUAUGCAUCU